UUGUGGGGACCACUGCAUAGGGGAAGGCCUUUUAAAUGCAGGCCUGCUUCCUUCUCCUCUCCAGCCAUUUCCCCAUACAAAAGCUUCCUCUAGCCCUGUGAUGGGUUCCGUUUCCUUCGAACUGCUUCCACCAGAAAAACUGCCCUUUACAGUGUCGAAAUUUCAUUUUAAUCAGGUUAAAACCGAAAACCCACUUAUUAUUUUAAGGCCUCGUGUUGCUAUUAACAGGCAGUUUAGAAGAGAUGCUUCAAGCAAUGGUAUACAAUGUGUCUCAAUGCACCAGGAGCACUAUGGUUUCACAUGUAGUGUUAAUUCUGUCCGAGACAAAUCCCAUAAUCUGUGCCGUUUCAGAGCCUAAUACGGAAAAACAUCGGGGUGGGUUUUGUUUGGGGUUUUGCUCUCUCCAUCCCAGGGGAACGUCCCAGGGGCUCCCCGUCUUUUAUAUCAUGCUAACCUAAGGGCGCAAAUGGGGCGACUGGAGGAAUCAGGUUUUAUCAGGGCACGCUGCGCUGACAGGGUUCUGGCCGUUGAAGAGAAGAAAAAGAAGUGUUCAAGACUUUGGUCGCAGAUCUGGGCAUGCAGAUGCGUGACGGGGGGCGUGGACCCUUUGUGGUACCAGACAGCUGUUCUACGUAAAGGUUUUGGAGGAAGGCGUGAAGCAAGCCGGGGUCAGGGCUGAAACUGACCCUGCAUCUCCGCAUUUUAGUUAUUUUCUAAGACUUCAGCUUCCAUUUGUGUGGGAUGCGCCUGUCUCCGGCCUGAUUCCUUUGUGUUUCUCCUUUGCAUGAUUAAAACACGCCUCUGUACGCAAUAAAUCACCAUCUCACACUGGAACGCCUGGUUUUGGGUUACAGCUUUGUCCGGUUAACAACAGUGAGGUUUUCAAGCGGGUGUUAGACGCGGGUUCAAACCUGCGGUGCGCGCGCCGGGGCCGAUCGCCCGAGCGCCGGCUUCUGGUUAAGUGGAGGCGGGAGCAGCUCUGCGGCCCUGCGCUGCAGGUAACCGGAACGGGCCACCCGGAGCUGUCCGGGACGCCAGAGGCAAGGUUUUCUUCUCCCAGAACUGGCCUCUGGCCUUAAGAGCAGUUGAGUCCUGCGCCGGGUCUAAAAACGAAGUCAGGAUAUCUGGUUUAAAGAGGAAAUCUAGAGACGUCGGAGAAAAGGGUUGCGCCAAGGGUAACCGUGAGUCCCACAGGCUCCCCCCGAAAGGCUCAGCUCAGAGCCGAGGAGCCCCAGGCAGGGCAGAACUCACCCAGACCCACUAGCCCAAGCCCCAGACUUUCCUGAAGGAUCCCUGGGGCCCCAGGCAGGCUCAGCUGGACCCCACCUCGGCGCCACGUCUGCUCAGGACACCGGAGGCCCAAGGCGCGGCGGGAGACCCCGCUGUGGCGGCGGCGGCUGCCUCGCCCUUCACCGCCUGUGGGAGACCCAGCCGUCUGCGGUGCUUCCUCCCAGGGAGGGGGCGAGGACGGCAAGAGGCCGAGGGCCCCGCCGCGCCGUCUUCUCCUCUCUGGCCCCCUCUCCCGGGCCCCUCAGGCCCAGAUCGCCCUCUUCUCCUUCGGCCUUGGCUUCCGUUCCUUCUAGCUCCGGGCGUUCGUCUCCUGGCCUGGCCACACACACGCACCCGAAGUCCGUCCGCCCCCCGAACUCAGCCAGGCAGUGAAGUCACGGGCCAGGUGCGCCCAGGCCCACGGCUGACCCCGAAGGGCUCAAGGAGCGCUCCUCCCGGCGCCGGCGGUACACGAGUCUCCCCGCAACCCACAGCGCCCGAAGCCGCGAGGGAGGCCUGAGGACCGGGUCGUGAGGUGGGCUGCGGCUCGGCCGAGGUUGCGACCAGAGCCGGAGCCAGCCCAGAAAGAGGGGACGCUGGAGGACGAGCACCCCAAAGGCCGCCCCAGUCCGGCCUGCAGAGCCGAGCGGGGCCCAGAGGGCGGCGCCAGCCUGGAUAGCCACUUGGGCCGCGGGCCCCCGGGGCAGAGAUGGGAGUGCUCUUCCCGGGUAACUCCGAUCCGGGCAUCGAGACUUAGAAACCGCAACCCUAAAAACUCGCCGUGGACUCGGUUCCAGUGCCGCCUCGCCGCCAAGUCCUCGGAGUCCCGCGCGGGCCUCCGGGGCUGAGGGUGGGCAGAGCCGCAGGAAAGGCGAGAUUAGAGAGAAGCGAUGGGGGUGGGGUGGGGUGGGGUGGAGGAAACUGACCAUUAUCUCAAACUCCGACGUUUCGAAAGCCGGAACUUAAUUGGCUUGAUUGGAUUUCUCUUAUCUUUGAAGGGGCGAAACACUCCCAAGGUGAAAUACAAAGGGCCCAGAAUCUUUGCGGGAAAGAUAAAGGUUUGGGACAACAGAUCUUUAUAAAGCAAACUAGCCCACCCUCACCUGCACCCCUCAAAACGAAGAUUACAUCAACGUUCAAGUCUUUGUUGGUCUCCAGACAGUUGAAAUAGCUCCCUGACGCCUGUGGAGGGUGGCAUCAUUUCGGUACCAACUUUAUUAAGCCGGGUCUUGGCUGGGCGCAGUGACCAGAACUCUGCACGAAGGAGCCCGCGCUAGCUGCCCGCCUCCCAGACCCUCCCUCUCUUGCCUGUGGUCAUGAGGAAUUCACUGCUACUUCACCGUCAAUUCAAAGGGAUUUAACUCCGUGGUCUGUUAAACGGAGUUGUGCAAAGGUAGCAACCGCUAAUAUGAAGACUGGUUCCAUCACUUUUUGUCUCUCCUAGAAAGAUUCAUAAAAGAAAGCUCUCAGGAGAAAUGAUCCUGUUGAGGAAGGUCUGAAAGCCACUAUUUGCCAAAACCUUCCUUAUGAUCUGAUCGGAAAGGAAAACACUUCACACCCCGGAAAAAUCACACCUCUAGGGAUUACAGAUGAAGGGCCUGGAGGUCAGAGGAGAUGCCGCAGGUUUGGCGGGGAAAAUUUAUGAGGACCUCGACUUCGCCAAGAGGGCACUUCCCGAGGAACUGGACUUCGAGGUACGGGCAGGGGAGUUUCGCCCAAAUGACAAGGGCAGUAGCCUUCUUUGCCCCAGUCCAAUAUGUGUCCCCAUUCACUCCAAUUAAAAAGAUACGAUUUAAUGAAAACGUUGUAGAUCCAUGUACAACCUUUUCCCAAGUCCCUGCCCUCUCCUCCACCAAUAAAUGCCCUGUGGCUUUGAGCUGCUGCUUGGAAGAAAAACCCAGCGGGGACCUCUCCUGGAGCUGGGGCGGGGGCGACGCGACCCUCUACCCGGUGCUCCGGAGGAAAGGGUGUUAUAACCCCGCGAAGCGGCCGUGGGGAAGGAGAGGGCAAGAGUGCA